rnacentral:rRNA from 1 species
AUGUGUAGCGGUGAAAUGCGUAGAGAUGUGGAGGAAUACCGGUGGCGAAGGCGGCCUUCUGGACAAAUACUGACGCUGAGAUGCGAAAGCGUGGGGAGCAAACAGGAUUAGAUACCCUGGUAGUCCACGCUGUAAACGAUGUCGAUUUGGAGUUUGGUGGCAUGACUGCUGGGCUCCGAAGCUAACGCGUUAAAUCGACCGCCUGGGGAGUACGGCCGCAAGGUUAAAACUCAAAUGAAUUGACGGGGGCCCGCACAAGCGGUGGAGCAUGUGGUUUAAUUCGAUGCAACGCGAAGAACCUUACCUGGUCUUGACAUCCACAGAAUUUUGUAGAGAUACGAAAGUGCCUUAGGGAGCUGUGAGACAGGUGCUGCAUGGCUGUCGUCAGCUCGUGUUGUGAAAUGUUGGGUUAAGUCCCGCAACGAGCGCAACCCUUAUCCUUUGUUGCCAUCGGUUAGGCCGGGAACUCAAAGGAGACUGCCGUUGAUAAAGCGGAGGAAGGUGGGGACGACGUCAUGUCAUCAUGGCCCUUACGACCAGGGCUACACACGUGCUACAAUGGCGCAUACAAAGAGAAGCAAACCAGCGAUGGCAAGCGGACCUCAUAAAGUGCGUCUAAGUUCGGGUUGGAGUCUGCAACUCGACUCCAUGAAGUCGGAAUCGCUAGUAAUCGUGAAUCAGAAUGUCAUCGGUGAACACGUUCCCGGGCCUUGUACACACCGCCCGUCA